rnacentral:tRNA from 1 species
UGGUGUGUUGCUCAGUGGUAGAGCACUUUCCUAGACCCUGGGUUCAAACCCCAGUACAACAA